GUUGAUUGGGAUCAUAGACUGUAUAUAACAAGUGGAUGUAGUCAUCGUGACGUCACCCGUUGGUUUGUACACUGCCGUUAAGGCGUUGCCAUGUUUGUUUGCAACCGAUCGCACCGUAUGUGGCCAUAUUUGGACGAGACGGUGGAGCUAACGGCCGUGUGCGGAGCUAGCUCGCUUGCUUAGCUAUGUGCAUCUGUAAUUGACGUUAACUGUCAUUUUAACCUGGAUGACGAUUUUGUCUAGUGAACAGGCUUAAAACUAAAUGUACAAAGGAGUGGAAAAUAUUCUUGCGUAUUUUUUAAACUGGUGUGUGUGUGUGAGUGAAGUGCCAGUCUUCUUCUGCACAAAUGAUGGCUCGGUGUCUCUGUCAGUGUAUACAAGAAAGAAAGAGGUCUGGCACUUCCUAGCUACGUGGACAUUCCGUGAACAGGGCAUGGAAGUUUCUAUUGGGUCAAUUAAAGCCUAUUUCACACUACACGAUUUUUAGCCUUAUUGGCCGCUCAGCGAGCUCGACUAUCAUCAGGCCGUGAUCGGGAGUAAAUCAGCGGUUGAUCGGCGGUUGCCAGUUGUUAUGUGUGAACUACUCAAUGACACGUCAAAACGGCUCCCAUUUCUGACACAUCACUGACGUCUGGCAGAUAUCUAGCGUGGCAAAUAUCUGGAAGAAUUGGCCGACUCCUCAACAUCAUGUGGUGUGAAAAGUGUGGAGAAGGUUUGGCCAAUGAGACAUGUGGCUGGCUCAACGGAAGAGAAACGGACUGUGUCACCGGAAGAGAAACGGACUGUGUCACCGGAAGAGAAACGUAGUCUGUAUAACUUAAAUAAAGUGGAAACGCUGUGUAACAUUCUAAGACGACAAAAAGUAGCAGCAACAAGAAAAGUGUGGACACAGGUCAUGGAGCAAAAUUUUAUUGAACUCUGGCAGGAGCACGAAUGCCUGUAUGAUGUGUCGAAGGAGAAGUACCACGACCGAACAGAGGAAGAGAAGAGGUGGACAGAAAUUAAUAAUGCUCUUCAACAGCAAGUUGAGGACGUGAAGACGAGGGCUACAAACGCAGUUUUCUAGGUUGAUGAAACCAAAACCGAGUGGGAGUGGCAGCAAACCAUUGAUGCCUAGGCAAAGAUGGCUCCUCAGGGCCAUGGAUUUCAUUAAAACCUACAUUGUUCACCGUCCAUGUGAGACCACUCUUUGUGCUUCAUUCACCGAGCGUGAUGACCUCAAUCUCUCUGAAUCAAACCCCACCACAUCAGCAGCUAGCGCAUCAUGUUCUGCCUCCUCCCUUGAAUCGUCAGAUGAAAGAGCUUCUCCAACGGCUGGAGAGGAAACUCCUUCACCUACCUCAACAGAGAGCAGGAUGGCACAACGGGGAUCAAGCACCAGCGGAGUAAAGCGCAAGGGGAUGUCAGAAACUGAUAUCGAGCUGCAGAAGCUUGCCUUGUUAAAGCAGAAGGCGGCAAAAAUGGAUGCAGAACCCACUCCUGAUGUAUUAGCUACAUUUGGGAACCAGGUUGUAUUGGAACUGAGGCUAAUUUAAGACCCUGCAUACCUUACACAGUUGAAAAGGGACAUAAUGAAUAUGAUCUACGACACUCAGGAAACUGAAAGGCACAGAUCUUCCUCUUCACAUGCACCGCCUACGCCAUACACAUUUCAACCCAUCUUGUCAUCUUCGCCACCAGAAUGGCCUCAACCUCAGAACACAUCGUCACCUCGGACUACGUAUCCAAGCUUUUUACAGUCACUGCAAGGCCAUGAUCACAUUGACAAUCUGAAGUAUACUACAUACAAUAGUACUUAUGUUUAGGUAUACUUACGUGUGUGUGUGUGUGUGUGUGUGUGUGUUUGGUUAUUGGGUUUUUUGUAUAGUAUUUUUUCAUUCCUGCACUGUUGCACUUGUAAGCACAUUAUAUAUUUAACUAUUAUUUGAAGGCAUGUUGACAUUGCAGUGUUACUUUUUAAAUAAAUCUUUGAAACCUA